rnacentral:lncRNA from 15 species
GAGUUUUUUUGUGAUUGUUGCAGACAAAAAUCCUUGAUUAUGCGGCACGUUUUCUUAAAAAAUGCGAUGGAAUAUGUGGGAUAUUUAUGCAAUUUUAUGCGAUGAAAUUGCGGGAAAUAAAAGGGCUUCAUUAUGGCUUCAUCGCAGGGUUUGCAGCUUUUUGAUAAUGUUCACGUCGGGUAAUUACGUCACUUCAUAACGUUCCCAUGUCAACAGGGGGAAAUGGCUGCUCUUGUGUGAAGUAAACAUUGCGACACUUUUAAACUUCUGCUAAGAUAGAUGUGACUUUUCUGCAACGAAAAUGUUGAAAUCAUGAAAGCCCCGCAUAUUCUGCGCGGAAAUCGGCAAUUUAUGCGGCGAAACUGCGGCGUAUUUGAAAAAAUGCGGCCCCCGCAUAAAUAUGCGGACUUUUGCUGAUUAUGCAUUGAGUUAUGCGAUCGCAUUAUCACAUUUUUCUGGAGGGACUGGUUAUAGCUGUUUGUUCUUUUGGAAGCAGGAAACUGUCUCAUGCAAAUGUUUGCUUUAAAAUUGAGCAACUAUGAGCAAUUAAAAGUGUGUGUGUGUCUCUUCACAGAUGGCUGUGUUUCAGAAACCAUCACUUCAGUUAGCAGCUGUUGUGUGUGUGAUCCUCGUGCUUACUUGCUAUUUUAUAAUAUUCUAUAACUGUCCUGGAGAGCUACUCAAAGAGGAGGUUCCCAGUACACAAGAACUGAGGUUGGGACCACUCACUACUCCUCCCUCACCUGGUCCGUGCACCUGUGCCCCCGGCUCAGUGCUCCUCAAAGAUUGCGUUCCUAAGGACCAGUAUGAAGAGCUGGUGAAGCGCAGAGCUAAGGAGUUCCAACAGCAGAAAGCCAGGUAGUGGGUGGAUGGAUGGAUGGAUGAAUGGAUGGAGUGCUUUCAUUUAAUUAGCUACUCUCAACCUGCCUUUAUUUGGGACAUGUCUUUAAUUCCUUUUGCACGAAACUCUUGCUCAGCCAAGAUGGGAAUUAUUAUCUAAUUGUUUAUUAAGACCAGUAUGAAUGUUCGACUCAUCAUUUGAUACUUUGGUGUUCGUGGUGUCUGUAAAAUGAACUGAAGGUUCUAAUUGUGGAGAAUCUAACGAUGUAUAGCAUGUCCAUAUUAAUAAAAUAAUAAUUCUUAUAAUAAUAGGAAUAAUUCUUCAGUAGCACUUUACAUUACAA